GAUGAAGAACGCAGUGAAAUGCGAUAAGUAGUGUGAAUUGCAGAAUUCAGUGAAUCAUCGAGUCUUUGAACGCACAUUGCGCCCCCUGGUAUUCCGGGGGGCAUGCCUGUCCGAGCGUCAUUGCUGCCCUCAAGCACGGCUUGUGUGUUGGGCCUCCGUCCUCCUCCCGGGGGACGGGCCCGAAAGGCAGCGGCGGCACCGCGUCCGGUCCCCGAGCGUAUGGGGCUUCGUCACCCGCUCUUGUAGGCCCGGCCGGCGCUUGCCGACACAUCAAUCUUUUUUCCAGGUUGACCUCGGAUCAGGUAGGGAUACCCGCUGAACUUAAGCAUAUCAAUAAGCGGAGGA
rnacentral:misc_RNA from 1 species